GUGGUCCAGGGAUGGGCAUAGUGAGGUGAGAACUACUGAGUCUGCUUCUGACUGUCAGCUGUACCAGGUCUGUUUGCUGGCCUCUGUCUUCGAUCUCCCCUCCUCCCAGGGAAUAAAUGGAUGGGACAAGGCCUAAGCCAUCCCAAAGGACUGCCGGCUACUCCAACAUUAGGAGCUACUCCAACAUUUACGAACUAUCAAGCUACCUGGUCACUGGACCAUGAUUUGCAGCAAGGUUCCAAACUAAAAACCAAAGAGGUCUGCAUUUCAAGGUGGAAGCAUGAGGUAGCAGCCCAGCCAGGUGAGACAGAGAUUAUAAGAGUCUGAGACAAGACUCUCCCGGCGGAGGGUCUAUCACGUCUUAGAAGGAUGAAACUCUGCCUGUGUGGUAGGCAGCGCCUGAGCAAGGCUGUGUGGCGCUCCUGGGGCGCUUGGCCUCGUGUCUCGUGCUCUGCCGUACAGCUGACAGUGCAGUGUGGGCCAAUCUCACUCCUCAUUCCACCUGAACUCAUGUCGCGGCAGGUGUGGGAACAUCGUCCAUCCAGCCAUCCGAGCGCUCACCAGCAGUUCAGAUUCUGGUCUCAUGCAAGCACAGACAGCCUUUAAUCCCUCUAGAUGAAAAAAAAAAAAAUCUGCAAAAGUAAAAGCUUAGCAAACUAAA